rnacentral:rRNA from 1 species
UCCGUAGGUGAACCUGCGGAAGGAUCAUUACAGAAAGUAAACGCGGAUCAAACCGCGAACUUCUAAACCUUUGACGAUUGACUCAUGUUGCCUCGGCGGGUUCUCCCGCCAGAGGAUACAUCAAAACUCCUGUUUUAACGGUGUUGUCUGAGCUACAAGCAACGAAUCAAAACUUUCAACAACGGAUCUCUUGGUUCUGGCAUCGAUGAAGAACGCAGCGAAAUGCGAUAAGUAGUGUGAAUUGCAGAAUUCAGUGAAUCAUCGAAUCUUUGAACGCACAUUGCGCCCCUUGGUAUCCCGAGGGGCAUGCCUGUUCGAGCGUCAUUUCACCACUCAAGCCUGGCUUGGUGUUGGGCGACGUCCCCUUUGGGGACGCGCCUCGAAACGCUCGGCGGCGUGGCACCGGCUUUAAGCGUAGCAGAAUCUUUCGCUUUGGAAGUCGGGGCCCCGUCUGCCGGAAGACCUACUCGCAAGGUUGACCUCGGAUCAGGCAGG